CAGCCGCCACGGUAAUACGUAGGUGGCAAGCGUUGUCCGGAUUUAUUGGGCGUAAAGCGAGCGCAGGCGGUUCCUUAAGUCUGAUGUGAAAGCCCACGGCUCAACCGUGGAAGGUCAUUGGAAACUGGGGAACUUGAGUGCAGAAGAGGAGAGUGGAAUUCCAUGUGUAGCGGUGAAAUGCGUAGAGAUGUGGAGGAACACCAGUGGCGAAGGCGGCUUUUUGGUCUGUAACUGACGCUGAGGCGCGAAAGCGUGGGGAGCAAACAGGAUUAGAUACCCCGGUAGUCCCUGUCUCUUAUAC
rnacentral:rRNA from 1 species